UAUUCGAAAGGAGACCGACUUGCUAUCCUGAGAAGAGCAGCGUCCAGCCUACAGGUUUUGGUUCUCCGAAGAGGGCGUGGGUUUCUCCGGGUGCGGGCUGAGCCUCCCUGGGGUGUGGGGAGACGAAGAGAUCCCUGGCCCAAGUCGCCUCGUUCCCGCUCUGAGACUUGGUCCUUUGCUGACUGGAGAGGGAGAGAGACUUGGGGCCCUCCUGGCCCCAGGCAUGGUGAUGUCCUGCUCCAGGGUGGCCUGGACCUCCUUUCCAUCUCUUCCUCUGGUGACUGAGCUCAUAUUAAGUGUCUGAAGAAGACAUUUUCUGAAGAUGUGUGUCAUAAUGGCUGCUGAAGCUUCUAUUCCAGAUCUGAAGAGCAAGCAGUGCUCAGGAGGCCCCCCAACACUUGCAUCUCUGUUGGACACAAAUGUGGCAGUUUCUUACUGCACUUCUGAAAUAGUCCAGUAGAAUGAACAGUAAGGCAUUGGCUAAAUGACAAAGGGAGUCAUCAAAUCUGCAUCCCUAUUACUACAACAUCAGUGGAGCACAGAACCUUCUUUGUUUAACAUCAGAGAAGGGUGUGGAUGCUAUACAGAACCAGGAACUCAUAGAGAGGAAGCAAGUGUGGUGUGGAGUCUACUAGACAGGCUACUGGAAAAGAGUGGACUGACCACAAGGAUACUAUAGAAGCAACAUUUGAACUAUGUCCUGGAUGACAAAAAGAAGCAAGGCAUGGACCAGCCAUUCUGUCAGUGUCUCUGCAAUGUGUAGACACCAGUUGAAUCAGGAUCAGAGUGCAAGCUCAGAGGCUGGAUCCUGGUGGACCAUGUGCAGACUGGUGGGAGGUAAGUGGAGAGCGCAAAUGGAGCCACAGAG
rnacentral:lncRNA from 1 species